AUUGAACGCUGGCGGCAGGCCUAACACAUGCAAGUCGAGCGAGCGGCGGACGGGUGAGUAAUGUCUGGGAACCUGCCUGUUGCAUGGGGAUCACUGCUGGAAACGGUAGCUAAUACCGCAUACCAUCAGAUGUGCCCAGGUGGGAUUAGCUGGUAGGUGGGGUAACGGCUCACCUAGGCGACGAUCCCUAGCUGGUCUGAGAGGGUGACCAGCCACACUGGAACUGAGACACGGCCCAGACUCCUACGGGAGGCAGCAGUGGGGAAUAUUGGACAAUGGGCGAAAGUCUGACGCAGCAACGCCGCGUGUGUGAAGAAGGUUUUCGGGUUGUAAAGCACUUUUAGUGGGGAGGCGUUACCCGACGAAGAAGCAACGGCUAACUCCGUGCCAGCAGCCGCGGUAAUAC
rnacentral:rRNA from 1 species